CCUACGGGAGACUGCAGUGGGGAAUUUUGGUCAAUGGGCGCAAGCCUGAACCAGCGAUGCCGCGUGAAUGACGAAGGCCUUCGGGUCGUAAAGCUCUUUUGAUAGGGAAAAAAAUCACCAUAAGUAACUGUGUUCGUAUUGACGGUACCUGUACAGGCAGGCCCGGCUAACUCCGUGCCAGCAGCCGCGGUAAUACGGAGGGGGCGAGCGUUGUUCGGACUGAUUGGGCGUAAAGGGCGCGCAGGCGGUCCUGCAAGUCAGUAGUGAAACACAAGAGCUCAACUGUAGCAUGGCUUUGGAAACUGGAAGACUGGAGAGCAGGAGAGGGAGGCGGAACUCGUGGUGUAGCGGUAAAAUGCGUAGAUAUAAGGAAGAACACCGGUAGCGAAGGCGGCAGACUGGACUGAGGCUGACGCUGAGGCGCGAAAGCGUGGGUAGCAAACAGGAUUAGAUACCCCGGUAGUC
rnacentral:rRNA from 1 species